rnacentral:rRNA from 1 species
CCUACGGGUGGCAGCAGUGGGGGAUAUUGCACAAUGGGCGGAAGCCUGACGCAGCGACGCCGCGUGAGGGAAGACGGCCUUCGGGUUGUAAACUUCUGUUGUAGGGGACGAAGGAGAUGACGGUACCCUGUGAGGAAGCCACGGCUAACUACGUGCCAGCAGCCGCGGUAAUACGUAGGUGGCAAGCGUUGUCCGGAUUUACUGGGUGUAAAGGGCGCGUAGGCGGGAUAAAAAGUUGAAGGUAAAAACUAGGGGCUAAACCGGGAGAUGCGUUCGAAACUGAUUCUCGUGAGUGAAGUAGAGGCAGGCGGAAUUCCGAGUGUAGCGGUGAAAUGCGUAGAUAUUAGGAGGAACACCAGUGGCGAAGGCGGCCUGCUGGGCUUUAACGGACGCUGAGGCUCGAAAGCGUGGGGAGCAAACAGGAUUAGAUACCCCUGUAGUC